rnacentral:sRNA from 1 species
CCAUAGCCCCGAUAGGAGUGAAAAUCCUUUUUGUAGUGAUCCCGAGCUUCGGGAGCCAUAAAAAGAUUACCCUGUCAGUUCACUAUCGCUCGUAUCUAGCGGAUAGCAGGAUUAAGC